rnacentral:rRNA from 1 species
UUGAACGCUGGCGGCAUGCUUUACACCUGCAAGUCGCACGGCAGCGCGGGCUUCGGCCUGGCGGCGAGUGGCGAACGGGUGAGUAAUACAUCGGAACGUGCCCAGUAGUGGGGGAUAGCUCGGCGAAAGCCGGAUUAAUACCGCAUACGACCUGAGGGUGAAAGCGGGGGAUCUUCGGACCUCGCGCUAUUGGAGCGGCCGAUGGCAGAUUAGCUAGUUGGUGGGGUAAAGGCCUACCAAGGCGACGAUCUGUAGCUGGUCUGAGAGGACGACCAGCCACACUGGGACUGAGACACGGCCCAGACUCCUACGGGAGGCAGCAGUGGGGAAUUUUGGACAAUGGGCGAAAGCCUGAUCCAGCAAUGCCGCGUGUGUGAUGAAGGCCUUCGGGUUGUAAAGCACUUUUGGCGGGAACGAAAAGGACUGUGCCAAUACCACGGUUCGAUGACGGUACCCGAAGAAUAAGCACCGGCUAACUACGUG